GAAGAGGCUGCUGGAUCAGGACAUUGAUCUUUUCUGCCCCUCAGUCUCAGACUGAAACAUCAGUUCUUCUUGGAUCUCAACUCUGCUGCCUCUCAGACUGGAACUUAUAUCAUCAGCAGCAAUCCUGGUUCUCAGACCUUCAGAAUGAACUAAAACUCUACAUUGGCUCUCCUGGGUCUCUAGCUCACCAACUACAAAUCUUGAGACUUCUCAUCCUCCAAAAUUAAGUUUUUGAAACACGAAGCCUCUUUAAUUCAAAGUUCCAUCUCUGGUCCAUUCAGCCAAGGCCUGGGAGGGAGGGAGAUGCCCCUGGGUGUUGCACUUGCUCCAGCUGGACACAUCUGGGACAAGGUAGGAAGGCAGUUGUUUUCAUCAGGAAAGAAUCUGACUGAGACCCAAGCAGACCAAAAGGAGAUGAGAACCAGAGGAAUGUUAUGAUACCAGACAUGUAAUGACAAAAGUUUAACAAGAAUUGGAAGGAUUGCAGAGUAGGAUCAGCACCCAAAAAAAUUAAACCAAUACUAUCUGGGCAAAUCUAAGAUAUUUAAUCAGAAGAAAAGGAACAAAGACACAAUUAUGAGAAAAAAAAUAAGAGAUACUAAGGAAGAGACUGGCAAUCUAACAUAUAAUUUAUAUGCUCAAAGAAGGACCAGAACCAAUAGAAAAGAAGCAAUGAUUUUAACAAUGAAGAAAAAUAGCUUGCUUGAACUGAAAAAAAAAUGAAAGAAAGAUAUCCUCAGAUGAGAAGGACUCAGUAAGAUCCAGGUGGGAUUAAUGGCAAAAGAUCAACUUGUACACAUGCAAGGAUGCCAAUAAUGAACUUCCAGGCAGAUCAGUAACUCCCUGGAAUUGGAAACCUGAAUACAGAGAAAAAAAAACUAAAAUGGCAAAAGUUUACUCAGCUUUAUGAUUGCCCUGAAGAGACCGUUCCAUGAUUCCUGUUCCCCCCAUCCUC